GCUGGGCAUGGUGGCAUACACCUCUACUCCCAGUUACCUAGGAGGCUAAGGAAGGAGGAUCACUUGAGAUCAGGGGUUCAGGAUCAGCUGGGACAACAUAAUGAGAUUCUGUCUCUU
rnacentral:sRNA from 1 species